GACGAACCGUGCGAACGUUGUUCGGAAUCACUGGGCUUAAAGGGCGCGUAGGCGGCAGAUCAAGUCCGGGGUGAAAUCCUCCAGCUUAACUGGAGAAGUGCCUUGGAUACUGAUUUGCUCGAGGGAGGUAGGGGUCGAGGGAACUUCUGGUGGAGUGCGGUGAAAUGCGUUGAUAUCAGAAGGAACGCCGGUGGCGAAAGCGCU
rnacentral:rRNA from 1 species